rnacentral:lncRNA from 1 species
GCCAGAUAAGGGAAUAAACGCAGGCUGCCUGAGCCAGCAGUGGCAACCUAUUGGGGUCUUCUUCUGCGCUGUGGGAUGUUUGUUCUUUAACUUCUUGCAGUAAAUCUUGCUGCUGCUCACUUUUUGGGUCUACACUGCCUUUAUGAGCUGUUAAUACUCACCUCGAAGGUUUGCAGCUUCACUCCUGAAGCCAGGGAGACCACGAACCCACCGGGAGGAACAAACAACUCCAGACGCGGCGCUCAGUCUUAAGAGCUGUAACACUCACCGCGAAGGUUCGCAGUUUCACUCCUGAGCCAGCGAGACCACGAACCCACCAGAAGGAAGAAACUCCGAACACAUCCGAACAUCAGAAGGAACAAACUCCAGACACGCCGCCUUUAAGAACUGUAACACUCACCGCGAGGGUUCGCGGCUUCAUUCUUUAAGUCAGUGAGACCAAGAACCCACCAAUUCCGGACACGGAGGAAAGUUUAGAAUAAAUCCCCUUCCACCCCUGCCCCUGGUGCCAAACUUGGAAGAAUGACUUCAUGGAUGGAAGUUUAUGGAGAAGUAAAUUAUCCAAAGCACAUGGAAGAAUCCUCAAGCCUGCAAAUACUAUGACAUAAGUAAGGAUUGACAAACAAGCUCCAGUGACACUGUUUUAUAUUGCCUAUCUACUUAGAAACCAUACCUGCCAAAGAACACAACUGCAUUCACUGAGUGUCACGAACUUAACUCAUAUCACAGGAAGAGAGACUAAAGUCUGUCAACACAUCUGGACAGGGUUUUCUCACAAUUAUUUUCUCUGCUGGCCCAAUAGACUUUGUACCAGGCUGUUGUGUGUUCUCCAAACCCUUUGAAUCCCCCUAAAAAUAAUUUACUAGCCCUCAAAUUGUCACAUUUUAUGCAUCUCUCUUUCCCCAAUGAAUAAUGGUAUAUAACAUCUGUACACCAUUUGGUUAUUGGGAAAUCAUUCUCCUCUAAUUCCUCGAUGCUAUGCUAAAAUACAAUUUCGUAUGUCUUUUCUGCCACU